rnacentral:lncRNA from 1 species
GAGGGGCCUCUGGAGGGGUGGCUGAGCUGUCUAUCAACAGGACGAUGCACUGGGGCUGGCAGUGGCCAAUCUGUAACAGCAAAGGGGACAGGGAAUGGUGAGGACCAGGGUUGGUGCAGUGACUCCCAGGCUGCAUGUGGAAGUCCAUCUUACAUGUGAGACAACCAUCUCAUGUUGAGAAUUCCUAGGGACACACAAGUGGGAAGUGCCUUGCCAUUUGAUAGGUGGGGCUAGUCAUCCACUGGACAAAGAAUAUGGUCUGUAGUUUAACAUUAAUGCUUGUCAGGUAUUGUAUCUAAACCCUGAAAGGGAGCGUGCAUAACGAGGUGUUUCCAACCCUUUCGCAUCAUGGCCAGAACUGAGUUUUGAUCCAUCCACCUUGGCCUCCCAAAGUGCUGUGAUUACAGGCGUGAGCCACCGCGCCCAGCCAGAAACUGAGGUUUUUGGUUUUUUUUUUGAGAUGGAGUCUUGCUCUGUCGCCCAGGCUGGAAUGCAGUGGCUCGAUCUCGGCUCAGUGCAAACUCUGCCUCCCGGGUUCACGCCAUUCUCCUGCCUCAGCCUCCCAAGUAGCUGGGACUACA